AAAUGUCGGCAAACUGUCAGCUGCGUUUCACAUUGAAGGUGCAUAGGAGGGAGGCAGCAGCAGCCCGCCGGCGGCCUCAAGCAGCGGCGCUGUGCUCGCGAUGCGGCCGCUGGUGAACAGAUGGCGCUUGUUUUCGCAAACACGGCUCAGGCUGACUGACCUGGCUUUGCAGGCCAGAUCCUACUCCUAGGCUGCUGGUGUCAGUUUGAAUCCCGCUCCAAAAAAACUGAAAGGUUCUGCAAGAUUGACGUGUAAGCAGCAGCCAUCACAGGUUAAAAAUGAUACUGACCCAUAUCUUCCUGGGUCAUUAGUCGCUAGUCAGCUGAUGGUGAGCAAGAGCGCCGUGGACAUCCUGUACCAUCCCGCAGCUGGCAGACCCAGGCCGCGUGAUUUACGACCGUCCGGUGCAUCUGCGGCUUUUCCCAGCGCCGCUCCGACAUCAACACGGCUAUUAAGUUGUCAGCUUCCCCACUGCUCCUUAUCCUAAUCGGGAGGCAAUCAUUGCCUUAAUACGCUGUGCUCGGCUAGAUGAGUUAACUUAGACAGCGGUGACCAUUUUUAUUAAGCAUCGGGAUCUAGCUAGGGACCGUUCAUUUUGCAUUGCGAAAAAUAACCAUUCAGGGCUGAAUAUUUCAGCCACCCGAAAUAUCUGUGGCAAAGAUACUCUGAAGCGGUUUCGAAGUCGGCAGAAAACAAUGACACUUUCCCGUCGGUAGUCGUCACUAAAGCCGGGAAGGUAUCUUAAGUGAAAUCUAGUGGUUUAAAAGUGAAUUAAAUGCUCUUAAACGGCUUAAAUCAACACCCAUAUGUAAAUAAAGGUCCUCGGUGAAUGACUGCGUAUAAAAUUAUACAAUAUUUAACUAGAGAUUUGUAUACAAAGUUUAUUAUUCGUCAUCAUUUAUAUAGAUUGCUUUUAAUGUUCUACUAAUAUAUACACUUCAUCCUUUCAUGCAACAUCAUCUGCAAUUAGAAGACAUUGUACUCUAAACUAUGUUCGUUCUAGCAAUCAGCCGGCAGGGCUAAACAAGGAUAAUUGGGCAUUGACAAAAGUGAAGAAAAUGAAAAGAUGUUGUAACAUCUUCCAACCAGUUUACUUUGGCAGCUUGAAGUCCUGAUUACACUGUUUACCGACUACGUAAUUUCUGAAUCCUUAACAAAACGGACAUGCAGCGAGGCAUAUAAUUAACAGACAUCGUGAAUCAUUUUGGUGAGCGUCUCUGUGCCUGUGUACGCGCGUGGGCCUAUCUGUAUAUAAUUUUAUUCUGAAAUGUGAUCAUAAUUUUAUUUUUGUAAUUUUUAACCAUUGAAAAAUGUGUUAGAUCUACAAUGAU